AUUGAACGCUGGCGGCAUGCUUUACACAUGCAAGUCGAACGGUGACAGGCCUUCGGGUGCUGACGAGUGGCGAACGGGUGAGUAAUGCAUCGGAACGUACCCAGAGGUGGGGGAUAACGCAGCGAAAGCUGCGCUAAUACCGCAUGUGAUCUGAGGAUGAAAGCGGGGGACCGAGCAGCAAUGUUUGGCCUCGCGCCUUUGGAGCGGCCGAUGUCGGAUUAGCUAGUUGGUGGGGUAAAGGCCUACCAAGGCGACGAUCCGUAGCUGGUCUGAGAGGACGACCAGCCACACUGGGACUGAGACACGGCCCAGACUCCUACGGGAGGCAGCAGUGGGGAAUUUUGGACAAUGGGCGCAAGCCUGAUCCAGCAAUGCCGCGUGCGGGAAGAAGGCCUUCGGGUUGUAAACCGCUUUUGGCAGGAACGAAACGGUGUCCGCUAAUACCGGGCGCUAAUGACGGUACCUGCAGAAUAAGCACCGGCUAACUACGUG
rnacentral:rRNA from 1 species